rnacentral:rRNA from 1 species
CCUAGUAACGGCGAGUGAAGCGGCAACAGCUCAAAUUUGAAAUCUGGCCUCACGGUCCGAAUUGUAAUUUGUAGAGGAUGUUUCUGGCGACGUGUCUUCCGAGUUCCCUGGAACGGGACGCCAUAGAGGGUGAGAGCCCCGUCCGGUCGUACACCUAGCCUCUGUGAAACUCCUUCGACGAGUCGAGUAGUUUGGGAAUGCUGCUCUAAAUGGGAGGUAUACGUCUUCUAAAGCUAAAUACCGGCCAGAGACCGAUAGCGCACAAGUAGAGUGAUCGAAAGAUGAAAAGCACUUUGAAAAGAGGGUUAAAUAGUACGUGAAAUUGCUGAAAGGGAAGCGCUUAUGACCAGACUUGGGCUCGGUGAAUCAUCCGGCGUUCUCGCCGGUGCACUUUGCCGUCCCAGGCCAGCAUCAGUUCGCGCCGGGGGAUAAAGGUUUCGGGAAUGUAGCUCCCUCGGGAGUGUUAUAGCCCGUUGCGUAAUACCCUGGCGUGGACUGAGGUCCGCGCUCUGCAAGGAUGCUGGCGUAAUGGUCAUCAGUGACCCGUCUUGAAACACGGACCAAGGAGUCGUCUUCGUAUGCGAGUGUUCGGGUGUCAAACCCCUACGCGUAAUGAAAGUGAACGUAGGAGAGAGCUUCGGCGCAUCUCCGACCGAUCCUGAUGUUCUCGGAUGGAUUUGAGUAAGAGCAUACGGGGCCGGACCCGAAAGAAGGUGAACUAUGCCUGUAUAGGGUGAAGCCAGAGGAAACUCUGGUGGAGGCUCGCAGCGGUUCUGACGUGCAAAUCGAUCGUCAAAUAUGGGCAUGGGGGCGAAAGACUAAUCGAACCUUCUAGUAGCUGGUUUCCGCCGAAGUUUCCCUCAGGAUAGCAGUGUUGAACUCAGUUUUAUGAGGUAAAGCGAAUGAUUAGGGACCCGGGGGCGCUUUUUAGCCUUCAUCCAUUCUCAAACUUUAAAUAUGUAAGAAGCCCUUGUUGCUUAGUUGAACGUGGGCAUUCGAAUGUAUCAACACUAGUGGGCCAUUUUUGGUAAGCAGAACUGGCGAUGCGGGAUGAACCGAACGCGAGGUUAAGGUGCCAGAGUAGACGCUCAUCAGACACCACAAAAGGUGUUAGUACAUUUUGACAUUUGGACGGUGGCCAUGGAAGUCGGAAUCCGCUAAGGACUGUGUAACAACUCACCAAACGAAUGUACUAGCCCUGAAAAUGGAUGGCGCUCAAGCGUCUCACCCAUACCUCGCCCUCAGGGUAGAAACGAUGCCCUGAGGAGUAGGCGGACGUGGAGGUCAGUGACGAAGCCUAGGGCGUGAGCCCGGGUUGAACGGCCUCUAGUGCAGAUCUUGGUGGUAGUAGCAAAUACUUCAAUGAGAACUUGAAGGACCGAAGUGGGGAAAGGUUCCAUGUGAACAGCGGUUGGACAUGGGUUAGUCGAUCCUAAGCCAUAGGGAAGUUCCGUUUCAAAGGCGCACUUGUGCGCCGUCUGGCGAAAGGGAAGCCGGUCAAUAUUCCGGCACCUGGAUGUGGGUUUUGCGCGGCAACGCAACUGAACGCGGAGACGACGGCGGGUGCCCCAGGCAGAGUUCUCUUUUCUUCUUAACGGUCUCUCACCCUGAAAUCGGUUUGUCCGGAGCUAGGGUUUAAUGGCCGGAAGAGCCCAGCACUUCUGCUGGGUCUGGUGCGCACUCGACGUCCCUUGAAAAUCCGCGGGAGGGAAUAAUUCUCACGCCAGGUCGUACUCAUAACCGCAGCAGGUCUCCAAGGUGAACAGCCUCUGGUUGAUAGAACAAUGUAGAUAAGGGAAGUCGGCAAAAUAGAUCCGUAACUUCGGGAUAAGGAUUGGCUCUAAGGGUUGGGUGCGUUGGGCCUUGGAAGUACGCCUCGGGAGCAGGCUGCCACUAGCCGGGCAACCGGCCGGCGGCGGCCAGCAUCCGGCGCUGAUGUCCUUGGCAGGCUUCGGCCGUCCGGCGCACGUUUAACAACCAACUUAGAACUGGUACGGACAGGGGGAAUCUGACUGUCUAAUUAAAACAUAGCAU